UCUCCGUAGGUGAACCUGCGGAGGGAUCAUUACAGAGUUCUCGCCCUCGCGGGUAGAUCUCUCACCCACUGUUAUCGUUACUGUGUUGCUUUGGCGGGCCGCCGGGCCCCGCUCGGCCGCCGGCUCCGGCUGGCGCGCGCCCGCCAGAGGCCCAGCAAACUCUGAAUGUUAGUGUCGUCUGAGUACUAUAUAAUAGUUAAAACUUUCAACAACGGAUCUCUUGGUUCUG
rnacentral:misc_RNA from 1 species